CAGCAUGGGGAAUAUUGCACAAUGGGCGCAAGCCUGAUGCAGCCAUGCCGCGUGUAUGAAGAAGGCCUUCGGGUUGUAAAGGUACUUUCAGCAGUGAGGAAGUGGGUAUGUUAAUAGCAUACUCAUUUGACGUUAGCUGCAGAAGAAGCACCGGCUAAACUCCGUGCCAGCAGCCGCGGUAAUACGGAGGGUGCGAGCGUUAAUCGGAAUUACUGGGCGUAAAGCGCAUGCAGGUGGUUUGUUAAGUCAGAUGUGAAAGCCCGGGGCUCAACCUCGGAAUUGCAUUUGAAACUGGCAAACUAGAGUACUGUAGAGGGGGUAGAAUUUCAGGUGUAGCGGUGAAAUGCGUAGAGAUCUGAAGGAAUACCGGUGGCGAAGGCGGCCCCCUGGACAGAUACUGACACUCAGAUCGCGAAAGCGUGGGGAGCAAACCAGGAUUAGAUACCCUCGGUAG
rnacentral:rRNA from 1 species